GUCACCAUGGAGGGAGGAGCUAGUGGAAUUUAAAAGGCUAGUGCAGGAUGGAAAGUGGGCUCUUUGCUUCUACUCUUGAAUGGAUUAACUCCCUGGGAUGGUGCUUAGAGAUUGGCAGCAGGCAUGGAUGGGACCUUGCUGGGCUGAAAUCUGGGAUCUGAUCUAACUUAACUGAGCCUAUAGUAGGAAGAACUGGCAGUAAAUUUGUUUUGCAGUUUGUUUUUAUUUACCCUUGAUGGAAGAAAGUCUCUUCAUACAAGAAAUGUGGGUACUACUCAGUAAACAAGCCUCCUGCAUAAUUUGUUUGUGCUGAAAUGUCAAGUCAGCUGACUACAAAGCAGCGGGAAGUCAUUAUUUGUGUAAGGGCUAGAUGAGCCUGGCACCAUGCAAACACUUCCUGAUGUAUCAACAAACCGUAUGGCUUUUCCCUGCAAUCAAGUUGACAAAUGCUGGCAGUCGGACUCUGCAUGAGUACAAACUGUUUGUAAAUGCCUGUUUGUUUGGUAUAGUAGGUUUCUGAUAUUUCACAAGUAAUUCUGGGAGACAUCCUGACUCAGUGUGAUUUGGGAGUGGGAGAUCAGGAAAAGUUGUGCUAAGAGUGAAAUUAAAUUGGUCUUUGGUUAUCAGUUUAUUUUGUUUAUUUUGUUUAUACCCCUGGAAUUUUCAUUCUUAUAGGAGAGUAGUCACAUUUAUUAUUUUGAAGUUUAACCCUAUCUUUUGAUACUUACAUCUCUGAAUCUGUCAACAUUUUAGAAUAAGGACUCCUGGGAGGACAGCAUGACAUAAUCUGUAAUGGUUCUCAGACAUUUCUGGGGAAAAGAAGACAGACAGGUGAAGAUGAAGGAAGAAGGGAAAUGGUUCAAUGUGUGGACUUCUCUUCUCUUGAGACCAUUUGGGGUAACAAACCCACCCACAUAUAUAUGUAGAUGCAUAUCAGCUCUACAGAUCCUUCAGUUUGGAAAGAAACCCAAUAUCUCUUCUCUUCUUUGGAGUCUCCAAAACACUGACCUAGCUCUGGCAAUGCAUGUGUCAACCUCAUCUCUGUGUAUAAUCCUGAACAGUAUAUGACCAAGGUGAAUCCCUCUUUAAACAAUGAUUGUCAGAGAUCUCCCCAGCACAGGGGUGUUCAUUGCCACAGAAUCCACAGCUUGAAAGAUACAUGAGUAUCUUGAAAAGACAAGAUAUGAUAUGCCCCUUAAAAUAAUAAAAACAUAUUGGGAAAUAGCUAAAGUCUGCA
rnacentral:lncRNA from 1 species